GACGAACGCUGGCGGCGUGCUUAACACAUGCAAGUCGAGCGGUAAGGCCCUUUCGGGGGUACGACGAGCGGCGAACGGGUGAGUAACACGUGGGUGACCUGCCCUCCAGCUCUGGGAGUAAGCCUGGGAAACCGGGUCUAAUACUGGAUAUGACUCCAUGACGCAUGUUGUGGGGUGGAAAGCCUUGUGCGGCUGAGGAUGGGCCCGCGGCCUAUCAGCUUGUUGGUGGGGU
rnacentral:rRNA from 1 species